rnacentral:tRNA from 1 species
GGGGUCAUAGCUCAGCUGGGAGAGCGCGUGGUUCGCAAUCAUGAGGUCGGGAGUUCGAUCCUCCUUGGCUCCA